GCGCAAACCUAGGGGAUCCCCGUCAGGGGGCUGAGAGGCUGGCAACGCUUGAAUGAGCGGCCCGGCGACCCUUCGAACCUGAUCCAGCUCGCACUGGCGUAGGGAUGGUGAACCUUUGAAAU
rnacentral:ncRNA from 1 species